ensembl:lncRNA
GAUUGCUGUCUUCAGACACUAAUGUUCUCCUUGUCCUUGCUCUGGAAUACUAACAUUUUUGUUGCCUAACCCUAAAACUACCUUCUGUUAUAGAAUGAAGAUUAUUCCUCAAGCAUUUUUUCCUUGGAAUUUCAUGAGAACACUCAUGCCUUCACAGGCUGCAAAACAGACUAUUCUUCCUUCCAGAUGAAAGAUGCCCAGAUCUUCAGGGAACAGAAGAAAACUUACUAUUAGAAGCUAGAAAAGAUUAUACUGAAAUUAUUUUUCUUCACCAUUAAGAAGAAGAGGGAUUCACUCUAAGGAGGUGGGGCUCCUUGCUUGGAGUAGUAAUGAGGAGCAGAUGAGCAGGAGGAAUAGAAAACCAAGUGAAGACUGAAGCUAUUUUACUGUUGAAGUAAAUUGGCUUGUUUUGGAACUGCCAAAUAAGAGCUAAUGAAAUCAGAUUGCUUCAUACACUACUUGCAGAAAAUCUAUAUGGAUUAAUACUAUAGAUUAAUAGCAGCUGGCCCUCUCCUUUCUGGAUUAGGUCCAAAAGAUUAACAAGAAAAUAAAUGCAGUGAGUAUGCCUUCAUUUUCUUCAGUAUCACUUGUAAAAGCAUGAAAUGCCCAGGAGUCCUGAUGUAUUCAUGGAAAUAGUGACUUAAGGAAGGGCAUUUGGUCUGGGUAGUUUUUGGUUGUUGUUAUUUUUUUCCAGUUUUGGUUGAACAUGGAAGUAAAUGGACAGCUGUUACAAUCCGAAAGGUCAGUGCAGUGGAAGGAAGAUACAGGAGUGCAGUAACAAAGGAACAAGUGUGAAUAGAAUGAUGUUACAAAGAAAAAGAGCUCACCUGUCUCAGAAGAGUUAGGCUCACGAGGAAAACAUCACAAGGGAAGGAUCUCCAACUAGAGGUCUUACCACAGUAGCAGUCAGCCCUUAAAUGAUGUCUAAGAGAGGUGCAGCCAGGCUCCACCUCUUCCAAUCACACAGAUGAAUUGCCUUCACCUGUGCUCCCAGGGCUGACCGGGUCCUUUCCACAGGUGCUGAAUCAGCAAUUCAGGGCAUGACUCAACAACUACCAUACAACUGCAUCAAAAGACAUUCAGAUUUCUGCUUUAAAAUCAGAUUACUUUUGUCAUUUUACACUUUUUUUUCUUUUUAAUGUUGACUCUUGUGACACCAUCAAGAGAGCAUCAUCAAGAGAAGGGGAGGAAGGAACAACUCAGAUGCCGUCCCACGUGGGAGAGGGCUCUGUGAAAAUGAUCUAAAGCUUUGCUGGAAAGCAUCUUGACACCUGCCAGCCCAAGCAAUGUGCUGUGUGAUCUGUGUGGGAUCCUGCAUUGUGUGCUAUUCAGUUUUAGUAUGUUAGUCCAGAAAAGCUACAAGUAGACAUAAGAUUUCACUGUAAAAGACAACCUCAACCUUGUCUGUGAUUCCCAGGGUCAAAAGGCUUCACUUCCUCCCUCCUCCUUUUUGCAUUAGGAAAUUCCUCCAGACAUCUUAGCAAAUAUUUCCUAUGAAUAGAGACCAGGAAAGGGAGACAGAACCUCUUCCUAGCUCUACUUCUUGCCUUCCUGCUGUCUGGUUGCCAGGUGCAGAAACACACAGAGAUACAGCUGGCAGUUUGUGUCUCUUUUUAAAGUCGGCAGCCCAACAUCACCAUUUCCACUUCCCAAAUUAGAGACCCAGAAAACACAACAAUCUGGCCUGUUAAGCAAAGAUAAAAGAUAAGGGAGGCAAACACAAAUGCAAAGAUCAGGCAAUGGUGAGGCUACCUGCAGUUCUCUGUUUUCCAGUGUGAUACACGGAAGAUAAGAUUAAUUACAGCUCCUCUGCUUUUGCUGGAUGAUAGGAAAAAAAGAGAGAGAGAAAAAAAAAACAACAGGAAAAGUUUUUCAUCAUCCAGAAGGUCUUUGUUGCAAUUUUUCUUUUUAAUCUUUGUAAAACAUUACAUCAUAGAAUAAAGACAAUAGCAGCAAAACUUAUCAAGAUGGUACAAGCACAUUCUGUUUGUACCCUGGUAAUGACAUUUAUGAAAUUGUCCCUUUUCUGAAAAUGCCUUCCUAAAGCACCAUAAAAUCUUACAGAGAGAAAGUGGGACAGAGACAAAAGAGUAGACAUAACAUCUUUGCAAGAUUAACCAGUUGCUUAUGCUACAAUUUGAAAUUGAUCAGGAAAAAAAUAAAUCAGCAUCCCACCAAAAUGUUUCCCCAAAUUUUAGCAAAGUUUUUUUUCUUUUUUUUUUUUUUCAAACGUAGGGCUGAAAAUGACUAAUCAUGGUUUCUCAUGUGAGUCUACAAGAUCCAGAUCAAAUUCUAUUAGAACUUGGAAAAAAAAUCAGUCUAAAACUACUUUGGAACGCUGGCCUGAACAAAUUCAAAUUGUUGCUAAGCUGUGAUCCAGACACAAAUCCUGCUUUUUCUAAUAAUAGUUACUACAUGACUCCAGGAUCUGGGAAACUGCUUAAUGGUAGGAUGGUCUGUUUGGUUUACAUCUCACAACUGACACUGUAAGAUUUUCUUUUUAAACAUCCAGCUCUCACAAAGAGAAAGAGUGUGUAGGUAGAAUAUAUUUGGGAGACUAAAAUAUUCUCUUACGUGCCACAUAUUACUUGUCUGUAAUUUGCAUUCAGGGAGUUCAGCCAAAAAAAAGCAAAUCCUAUCUGCCUCAAAGGAGCACCUGCUAGAGAAAUGUCUCCUUUCCCCAAAAGCGGCACUGGUAUUUCCUAGUGGUGAGACAAGGGCUGAGAUGUGACUUGUAUGCAGAUGUAAGGGAGCACAAAAAGCCAGAUCUACCUGUAUGGAAUGGGAGGCAUCACCGCUAAAAGUGUGUGUGUGCAAGAUCAGAUCAUGUGUUAUGUGAAGGGCAGGCACGUGCACUUGUUUGUAUGGGGUCUCUUUUCAAUCAGUUCCUUAGUACUCACCAGCACUGUGGACAAGACCUGCCUUUAGACUGACCAACUCAACCCAGCAUGAUCCAGCACCCACAGUAUGCCUUGGCUUCAUUAGCACAAUCUCAAAUUAUCUUUUGCUACUACUCUCUCUUAGUGUUUGAUUUCAGCAGCAUGAGUCAACAUGGUCUAGCAUCAUUAUGUACUUCACUUGUGCUGGCAGGAAGAAAAUAUUCUGUUCCAGAUCAUUGGUGUUUUUAAAGAGACUAACUGCUACUCGCAGGAAAGAAGACGGAGACCCUGGGAGGAAUUAGGCUACCUAAAGGAACUUCCAAAUCUGCAUUUUUGUGAUAUUUCAGGAAACUAGUUGCAUACGUUAAUCUAUAAGCCUCUAUUUGAGUUCCACAGAUUUGUGUUGAUUGGC